GCCUGGGUGGCUCAGUCGGUUGAGUGUCUGACUUCGGCUCAGGUCAUGAUCUCACGGUCUGUGAGUUCGAGCCCCGCAUCAGGCU
rnacentral:tRNA from 1 species